rnacentral:other from 1 species
CUCUCUCUGCGUUGUCCGUGAGGUUAUUAACGCCCCUGCGGAAUAAUUUUUGUACGGGAGCCUGUUUCGGUCGUGGUGUGCUGCCCCAUUGCGCGGGAAUUGCCUAAAGCGACCUACAGGAGCCCACCUGAAUGGGAACUCGCUGUGAGGCCCCCCAACCAAACGACAAGGCGGAGAGAGC